UACGGAGGGUGCAAGCGUUAUCCGGAUUCACUGGGUUUAAAGGGUGCGUAGGAGGGCAGGUAAGUCAGUGGUGAAAUCUUCGAGCUUAACUCGGAAACUGCCGUUGAUACUAUCUGUCUUGAAUACCGUGGAGAUGAGCGGAAUAUGUCAUGUAGCGGUGAAAUGCUUAGAUAUGACAUAGAACACCAAUUGCGAAGGCAGCUCGUUACACGAAUAUUGACGCUGAGGCACGAAAGCGUGGGGAUCGAACAGG
rnacentral:rRNA from 1 species